rnacentral:rRNA from 1 species
GACGAACGCUGGCGGCGUGCUUAACACAUGCAAGUCGAACGGAAAGGCCCCUUUGGGGGUACUCGAGUGGCGAACGGGUGAGUAACACGUGAGUAACCUGCCCUUGACUUCGGGAUAACUUCAGGAAACUGGGGCUAAUACCGGAUAGGAAUCCUUGCUGCAUGGUGGGGGUUGGAAAGCUUCGGCGGUUUUGGAUGGACUCGCGGCAUAUCAGCUUGUUGGUGGGGUAGUGGCUUACCAAGGCUUUGACGGGUAGCCGGCCUGAGAGGGCGACCGGCCACAUUGGGACUGAGAUACGGCCCAGACUCCUACGGGAGGCAGCAGUGGGGAAUAUUGCACAAUGGGCGGAAGCCUGAUGCAGCAACGCCGCGUGCGGGAUGACGGCCUUCGGGUUGUAAACCGCUUUCAGCAGGGGCGAAGCUUUUGUGACGGUACCUGCAGAAGAAGCACCGGCUAACUACGUG